UACGAAGGGGGCGAGCGUUGUUCGGAUUUACUGGGCGUAAAGGGCGCGCAGGCGGUCUUGAAAGUCAGGCGUGAAAGCCCCGGGCUUAACCUGGGAACUGCGUUUGAUACGGAUGGGCUAGAGUUCGGGAGAGGAGAGUGGAAUUCCCAGUGUAGAGGUGAAAUGCGUAGAGAUCCGGAGGAACACCGACGGCGCAGGCAGCGUCCUGGCCGCUUGCUGACACUGAGGCACGAAAGCUGGGGGAGCAAACAGG
rnacentral:rRNA from 1 species